rnacentral:rRNA from 1 species
CCUUGAGGCGUGGCUUCCGGAGCUAACGCGUUAAGUCGACCGCCUGGGGAGUACGGCCGCAAGGUUAAAACUCAAAUGAAUUGACGGGGGCCCGCACAAGCGGUGGAGCAUGUGGUUUAAUUCGAUGCAACGCGAAGAACCUUACCUGGUCUUGACAUCCACAGAACUUUCCAGAGAUGGAUUGGUGCCUUCGGGAACUGUGAGACAGGUGCUGCAUGGCUGUCGUCAGCUCGUGUUGUGAAAUGUUGGGUUAAGUCCCGCAACGAGCGCAACCCUUAUCCUUUGUUGCCAGCGGUCCGGCCGGGAACUCAAAGGAGACUGCCAGUGAUAAACUGGAGGAAGGUGGGGAUGACGUCAAGUCAUCAUGGCCCUUACGACCAGGGCUACACACGUGCUACAAUGGCGCAUACAAAGAGAAGCGACCUCGCGAGAGCAAGCGGACCUCAUAAAGUGCGUCGUAGUCCGGAUUGGAGUCUGCAACUCGACUCCAUGAAGUCGGAAUCGCUAGUAAUCGUGGAUCAGAAUGCCACGGUGAAUACGUUCCCGGGCCUUGUACACACCGCCCGUCACACCAUGGGAGUGGGUUGCAAAAGAAGUAGGUAGCUUAACCUUCGGGAGGGCGCUUACCACUUUGUGAUUCAUGACUGGGGUGAAGUCGUAACAAGGUAACCGUAGGGGAACCUGCGGUUGGAUCACCUCCUU